UGGUGGAGUGAUUUGUCUGGUUAAUUCCGUUAACGAACGAGACCUCGACCUGCUAAAUAGUUCGGCGAAUCCUCUGGAUUCGUGCGUGACUUCUUAGAGGGACUAUCGGUGUGUAGCCGAUGGAAGUUCGAGGCAAUAACA
rnacentral:rRNA from 1 species